rnacentral:rRNA from 1 species
UACGUAGGGGGCAAGCGUUGUCCGGAAUUAUUGGGCGUAAAGGGUGCGUAGGCGGGCAGGUAAGUCAGUGGUGAAAUCUCCGGGCUUAACCCGGAAACUGCCGUUGAUACUAUCUGUCUUGAAUAUCGUGGAGGUAAGCGGAAUAUGUCAUGUAGCGGUGAAAUGCUUAGAUAUGACAUAGAACACCCAUUGCGAAGGCAGCUUACUACACGAUCAUUGACGCUGAGGCACGAAAGCGUGGGGAGCAAACAGG